rnacentral:lncRNA from 1 species
UAAGAACCGGAAACCGGCCCUUUGUACACACUUCGGGUGUCUGGUGUAAUGGGUCUGGGUGACCCAGGUAAUGGAGGAAGACCGAUAACCGAAUUAUAUAUUAUUUUAUGCGGUUCCAGACAUCAAAGCGGUUCCAGUGGAUUUUGAAUUGGACACUUCACCACAUUUGUGUGUUGCUUCAUCGGAUUUUGCAGAGAGGAAUUGUGGACGGUUGUCGAUGAAGGGUAUCAAGAACUGGGAC